CGCAUUAUCACCGGAGAAACUAAAAAACUAGUAAAAAGAUCACCUUGACCAACUAUAUUUUGUUCAAAUUGAUGACCGACAACAUAAGUGGCCAUAUAUUGUUUAAGCUGAUUUUAUUAAAACGUGUUGCAAAUUAGGGUCAUGAAUCUGGAACAACAUAUCCCAGCUGGAGAGCAGUUCCGAUAGUAGAGUGACAGCAGGGUCAAAUUUUCCUUAAGGUGAG
rnacentral:misc_RNA from 1 species